rnacentral:rRNA from 1 species
CCCUUAGACGUUCUGGGCCGCACGCGCGCUACACUGACCAGUGCAACAAGCAUCCGUCCUUGGCCGACAGGCCCGGGCAAUCUUUGAACGCUGUUCGUGAUUGGGAUAGACCUUUGCAAUUAUGGGUCUUCAACGAGGAAUUCCUAGUAAACGCAAGUCAUCAGCUUGCAUUGAUUACGUCCCUGCCCUUUGUACACACCGCCCGUCGCACCUACCGAUUGAAUGGUCCGGUGAAAUCUCGGGACGGCGGCUCGGGCGCUUGCGUCCGACUGCUGAAACUUGAUUAAACCAUAUCAUUUAGAGGAAGGUGAAGUCGUAACA